rnacentral:lncRNA from 1 species
CCACACUCUAUCUAAGGCAUGGUAGUCAAUAGAUUUUUAUGUAAACAUAAAUUGCCUUCUUCCAUGGUGUAUUUAAAGCUGAAGGGCUGCCUGAGCACUGUGUAUGGUGGGGUCCUGCAGAUGGUCAGGAGUGCAGGAUUUCACUAGUGUUCAUGGUCAAGGUUUUCCUCCCACGCCUGGCAAACUAAUUGCUGGCUCUAUGCUAUGUGCAGGAUGAAAGACUGUUCAGUGGGCUGAGUGUCCUGGUCUAAGAAACACUCAGAGCAGAAUCCUGAUCUUUUGUGUCUCCUUAGUUUGCCAGAGUGACAUCACUCAACUGAUUGGGGCAACUCUGAAACUGAUAGUAACUCUGUCUUUCUUCACCUCUCAGGAAAGACCAAAACCUAUUGUCUCCAGUCAACUGCUGGUAUUUGCUCCUGAACCAAGUAAGGAGAGAAAGCAAAGACCACGCAACCUUGAGUGACAUCUAUCUGAACAAUGUGAUUAUGCGGUUCAUGCAGAUAAGUGAGGAUUCCACCAGGAUGUUUAAAAAGGUACACCCAGUAAAUCCUCCCGCAGCAUGCUUUCUGAUAACUGCCUUGUCUCAAACCAGGAGUGAGAACAGUGUCUGGAAAAAAUUAAAGGAGUGAAUAUUUUAAAGACACAGAAUAAAAAGUUAACCUUGAGGAGACAUAGUUUAUGUGUAUGUGUGUGUGUGUGUGUAUGUGUGUGUGUGUGUAUAAUACAUGUAUGGUAUGUAUAUGGUAUUAGAUACUAAAUAUAGUUAUAUUCAGCAAAUUACUGGAUCUAUGGCCUGAACAACGUGAACACAAUUUUGAAAAAGAUGUACUUGCAAAUUACACUUCUGUCUUUAGGAACUGUCUGAGCUUAAGAAAAAUAAGAUGAGAAAAGAAAAACCUCUGAUUCUGUCUUAGGCUCACACAUGAUCAGACUUGUGAAGAACAAGAUUACCCCAUGUGCUGCUCUCUUGGAAAAAUGUUAUCACAAUUUUUUCUUAUUCCCACCAUAUCAGCAGCAGGGGCUGUGAGAAAGCAAUGAGAAAAAAAUUCCACAGGGCACAGAAAAUUCAGUUCCUUACUCGCCAGAGAACUUCCUCUUUCCCAAAUCCAUUAAAAAAAGAAGAAGAAAGAAAACAGACUUGAAGGCUCUUUGUCAUCGUUGCUAGCCUCAGCCAACUCUUGGCAAUUUUUUGGUUGUUUGGACAUUUUUGUUGACAACAAUAACAAAACUGGACCAUUUCCUGUACAGAGACUGCAGCUACUUGCCCAGUAAGACUGGUCCUUGGCUCUUUAUAUUUGUAGGACAAGAGCCUCCCCAUCCCUCUCAGCUUUGUAUUAAUAGUAUUCAGUGUCAAUAUUUAUACCUGUAUUUACUCUUCAGUAAGUAAUUAUGAGUUUCAGAAAGAAAAUGGGGCAGAGGGAGCCACUCUGUAGAUUAAUGAUAUAUUUAUGUUUCAAAGAGGCCCUUUAAAACAAAGAUGUAGUGUUAAGCAGGCCAGAUGGAAAUCUUCUUAGUCUUGUCUGAUGUAUCCACAUUAGAUUUGAUUUCUGACCUAGAAAUGGAAUUUAGCAAGCCCUAAGUUAUCAUGUGCUCUAUUUAAUGGGGAAAAAAUGUUUCAAACAAAGGAGAAUUUUUAAAAAUUGGAACUGAGGAGCAUAUUAAUUAAGAAGAGAACAGGAAGAGAAAUAUCAUAGUAUCUUAGGUAAUGGCGAUUAUAAAAAGGAGUUUAAACUGAGCUGGAAAAGUGAAGUAAUUUUCUUGUUCAUUGGCCCUUUCUGCUGAGACCCCCUUUGGUUCAGCAGGUGUUCUUGAGUCUCUCCCAUGAGCAGGAGAUUGGGAUGUUAGGUGUCAGAAAGGGUAUAGAGAUGGAGAAAAACAGUCCUCAUCUUCAAGGAUGUUGCAGUUGAUCCAAAUCUGAAUGACAUUAAAAGAUGCUUUCUAGUCUUGAAGGUGCUGGCAGGACCUAAAGGACCAGCUCCUCAAUAGAGUUCAUUUAUCCAUUUAACAAAACAUUUUUUAAAUGCCUGGUAAACCAGAGUUAAAAGACACGUCCCUGGGCUGGGGAUGUGGCUCAAGAGGUAGUGCGCUUGCCUGGCAUGCGUGCGGCCCGGGUUCAAUCCUCAGCACCACAUACAAACAAAGAUGUUGUGUCUGCCGAAAACUAAAAAAAAAUAAAUAAAUAUUAAAAUUUAAAAAAUAAAUAAAAGACACGUCCCUGCCUGUUAGAAGUUCAUUAUAAUAAUUAAGGAUUACCACACUCCAGAGAUGCACAACCCACUGUGGGAGCCUAAGGCUAGGGAUCUCAGCUUUACCAAGGGAUCAGGAAAUGCUUCAUGCAAGAGGGAACACUUGAAGUGAGGCUUCUAGGAGAAGCAAGCAUUCAUCAAGCAGACAAGGACAAAAGGCUCUCCCAGGGAAGUGACAGCAUAUGUUCUGGGGAGGUUUGAUAUGAUUGGGCCAGGGGUUGUAUGGGAGUGGGUGAUGGCUUAUGAGACCAGAAAAGAUGGUCAAAUGAGGAGGGAUUGUAUGUGUCUUGCUAAGAUGUAAGAAUUUGAGAGUCAAAGUCAAGAGAUUGGUAACAUUGGUAGAAUCUGAGAAUGAGAGUCAAAUGGAUUUGGACUUGAAUUCCCUCUCUUCUGCUCACUUGCUUUGAACUCUUGAGAGAUAAUUCACAAGAUUGAAGAGAAUGUUCUCUACUCUUGAAGGGAGGGAAAAGGCAAGCCUGGACAGAGGAAGAAGCUGAACCUAGAGCUCGGGGGCAGGAUAGCCUUUGGAGUUGUCUCAUAGCCAGCCUUUGUUUUGGAGGCAUUGGAUUUGAACUGCUCUUGGGAAGGGAUACACAAUCUUGGGGUGGGCUAGCUCCCUUUGGUAGAGGGUAACUACCCAAAGACAGUUCCCAGAGAGGGAUCAGCUGUGAGUUUCAGAACCAGUAUUCCCAGAAUUUGGGGGGAAUGAAUUCCUGGCUCUUGAAGAGGGAUCCAGGUAAUGCACAGUAAUUACAGAAAGGAGACAGACAGACAGACAUGUCUGUUUUUUUGCUAUCUAGCAUUCUCAUGUCCAGAUUUUCUGAGACUCAAAGAAUUUACAGUGGAUUCCUGAUCACUUUAUCAUUUAGUGGAGAGAGCAACUGAUUCUCUCACUUAUCCAUUGAUGACCAGCUGAAAAAGCAAUGCUCAUUACAAUUACAGAUGCCAAUUUCUACCUUCCUCACGUCAACAAGCAGACUGCACACCUCACCUUUCCAUCUUGUUGGAAGAACAAGAGGCAGAAGCAAAAAGAAAGCCAGAGGUUAUUAAGGAGAAAGACUGAUUAACCUAGAACACAUUUGUCAUCUGAAUGCAAAGAAAGCCAAAAUCUACAUUGUUCAAGUCCAAAAGAAUUUCAUGUUCCUUUAUAUUAGAAAGUAACACUAGUAUUGUCUGCUUAUUCUUUUUUAAUCACCAAUUUUCCUUUAUAAAACACAUCUUCCAUUGUUAUAGUUCUAGAUUAGAGUACUAUUUUCUUUGAAAAUGGGAAGAAAUCAUCAGAGUUGGUCUGAUGUGAUUUUUACAACCCCUAUGUAGUCCUUGGGGACAUAAGGCUUGUUUUCUUGGGAGAGGAUUCUGACACUUUUUUUCCAAAACUAUUCCCAUGUCUAUUUGGAGAUUUAGAUAAUUCUGUGUUCUUGAGAGUUUUGACCUGUUAAACAGCUACAUCUUACUCAGUUUAGUCAAUAACAGAAUUCUUUUUCUCAGACUAUUCUGUCAAAUAAGAAGUUUGGACCAGGUUAAUUCCAGUGAUAUUCUUGUGUCCAAAUGCAUGUAAUUAUCAAGAAGACACUUGUAAAAAUACCUAAUUGCAUACAUAGUGGCAGGAAACAGCUUAAAGAUUUAAGUCUUAAUCACAUCAGAUCUGAUUACAGACAUAGUUGCCCUAGCUUGACAGAAAGUUUUCAACAGGUUGAAAAAAGGAACCAUUUUAAAAAGCAAAAAUCAAUCAAAUGUUUGAUUAUUUUAGACUUAGACCUUUAAAGUGUGUUGGUCAGAAUAACAGUGAUUCAGCUUUUAUACUCUGAAAUCAGAUAUUUGGGGUGUAAAUCUUGACUUUGCCACCAUUAGUAGUUAUGUGAACUUGAGAGUAUUUGUAAACCUCAUAAGCCUCAUCUGUAGAGUAGGUAUAAAAAGCUAUUCCCCAGUAGUAGUAUGGAGGAUUCAUGAGUCAUACAUGGAAAGCAACUUAGCCCAGUGUCUAGACUUAAUAAGUCCUAAGUAACUAGUAUCUUUAUUAUCAUUGAUAUUGUAAUAAUUAAUUCCAGAUACCUGUAAUAAUUAUGCAAUUUGAGAUUAUCCAUUAAUCUCACAUUAAAAAAUGUGUUCUCAUUCUAAGGAGACUGUAUGAGGCAGCUUUGUGAUGUACACUUUCAGAUCAUCAUCUAUCACUUGUUAUGAAGUACAUAACAUCUUUGCUUAUAGCUGAAUUAAACUUUUUGUCCUCAAAUUUCAAUAGUAGUGAUUAGCCAAAUGAAUGCUUGAGUUGGUCAGCAAUCCUUGCCUUUCAUAUCCCCUAUAGCCUUUCCACACUGAAAAUCCUACCUUUGAGUCUACAUUGAUUGCUUCAUAUAUUCAACAAAAUGAGUUACUCAAUUCCAGACCCUCAUUCAGAUAUGGAUAAUCAGAUAUGGAUAGGAGAGGACUCUGCCUUUACUCUCUUAAGCACUGCUUUAUCAUUUUACAUACAGGUCAGAAUUCCAGGGCUUCUUGUACAUAAGGGUUUGUUUCAUUAUCAAACCCCACUCUUUCCCCAAAGAACAAGGGCUGAUGAUGUGCCCAUCACCCUGUUCGCCAGCCCUGCCUCCCCAAGUCACGAGAUACUGAUUCUUCUUUCCAUUACUCAUACUGAAAGAGAAUGUUCUACAUCUGGUUUGGUGCUAGAGCCAGAAAAUGUGCAAUUCAUAUGCUACACAUAAAAAUGUAAUUAAUGUCAGCAGUCACAGUUGCAGGGCAGGCUACAGCCAGAUCGCAGUAACCAUUCUAUUUAAACACCUAGUCACUAGAUAUUACUUACCAAUUUUAAGAAUGUUAAUAGAGGUAUGUGAUUUAGAGGGAACACCAUACAAUUGUGCCAUUUGAAUAUGUCAGAUUUAUCCCUGUGUUUUAAAUUAUCUUGAAGGCUGUCAUUUUCCAUGAAUGAUUCUCAAAUUAUUGAUGUACUUUUAGCUGUUUUGCAUAAAUUACAUGUGCAAGUAUAGUUCUUUUUUUUUUUAAUCUUCCAACAACAGCAGCAUCUGUAAGCACCACUUGCUGAUAUUGAGCUGUGUGCCAAGGUCUGACUUUUUCUCAUACUAGCUUACACAUCCUCAUAGCUGCCCAAUGAACAGGUAUUAUUAUUAUUAUUAUUUAGUUGUAGUUGGACACAAUAUCUUUAUUUUAUUUUUAUGUGGUGCUGAGGAUUGAACCCAGGGCCUUGGAUGUGCUAGGCGAGCGCUCUACUGCUGAGCCACAAUCCCAGCCCCCAAACAGGUAUUAUUUAAUCCACAUUUUAAGGAUAAAGAAGUAAAAUGUUUGGGGAUGUGAUUUGCAGAGCCAGGCUGGCUAGUAUAUAUUCUUCUCUUUGCCCAUAUUUUAGAUAAUUCAUAACUAAUGUGAACUUUGUUGGCAUUUCUUUGGUCAUAAUUGGAGAUGUCACUCCAUGUGUACGGUCAGCAGCUUCUGAGAAACAGGACACUGGGGUUUUUGGCCCUGUUUAUUUCUUAUGAAAAUCCUGAACAAAGCUAUUCCUAGGAUUAAACAGAAAAAUGUGUCUGUCAUCUUCAUUAUAGACAGGGUCUCAAAGCAGCAGAGACUGGCCCCAAGCCACUGAGAAUUACCCUCCUCUGGUAUAAAUGUGUAGAUUAGCAGAUUUAGAUUCAUAAGACUUAAAUUAACCCACUUUUGGUAUUGAUGAUUCUGUGGAUUAACUUAAAAAGAAAGAUAACUAGUAAAAUUCAUAAACAGUUUUUAUUUUUAUUAAAGUCAGCCAUAUUCUAUUUAAACACCUCAAUAUGAAAAAAGAAAGAUAUUUUAUAGGGAUAAAGCUCUUCUUUCAAAUAGACCAUUUAAAUAAGUUAAUAUAUAAACAGAUGCUUUAGUUGAAGUUAAUAAAAGAUACUAUUCUACUACAGAUCUCUAAGACUCUGACCUGUAUUGAAAAAAAAAGUACAUAAAGUUUAAAACAUUGAAAAUUAUCCAUCUGUAUGUCCAUAGAAAGAGUUUCUUUUUUAAUGUAAAAUAUAUAUUCAUUGUAGAAUAUAAAAAUAUAUAUUCAGUGUAGAAAUUUAUUUUAUUUUAUUGUAUUUUUUUAGAGAGAGAGAGAGAAUAUUAAUAUUUAUUUUUUAGUUUUCGGCGGACACACAUCUUUGUUUGUAUGUGGUGCUGAGGAUCAAACCCUGGACGCACGCAUGCCAGGAGAGCGGGCUACCGCUUGAGCCACAACCCCAGCCCCUCAGUGUAGAAAUUUAGAAAACACUAAAAAACACAGAAAAAGAAUGAUAAUUACCCAUAUCAACACUAUUUACUAUUAAUAUUUUGGUCUGUUUUUUUCAAUGUUUAUAUGUAUACACGUAUAUAUGGAUAAUAUAAAAAACAUACAUAUAUAUUUUACAAAAUUGAGAUCAUUUCAUAUAUCUUAGAAAUCUGCCUUUCCAUGUAAAGUCUCAUUAACUUUUCUCAUGUCUGGAAAUAAUUUUUUAGAACAGGAUACUUCAUGCCUGCAUAGUGUUCUACUCUCUGCAUGGCCCCAUGUUAUUUCCUUAUUAUUGGACAUUUAAAUGUCUCACACAUCAGUGAUAUUUUUCUUAUGCUACAUUCCUGGGGAUAGAAUGGUUGGGUCAAAGUGUGGCCUUAGCAUUUCAUGUCUUAAAGCAAUUCUUUGUUUUUACCUUUUCAGAGUAAUGAUGGUCAUGGCUGUGAUUUACCAACUAGUAAUAUAAUCCCUGAAAAAUAAAUGGACUAUUUUAUUAGAGAGAACAACCAGAUGUGAUUCAGUAUGCUUAUGCAACAGUGGUAAAUAAUAUAACAAGAGGAACUUUUUCAAAGCAUUUUAGUGCACUGUAGCAGAAGAAUUAAAUGGUACUCUGGUAGCCUCAGGGGACAGCUUAAUUAUUGAUAGGACCUGGAUAAAUAAGUAAGAAUAGCUCAAGCUAACACCACUAACUUGUUCUCUUGAGUUUUAUCACCAUAUGGCUAGCUUGUUUUUCUAGAAAUAAAUUAAAACCAAACUUUUAUUUCUUAUAAUGUUAUAAUUUUGUGAAUUAUUUCAGAAAACAUUUUUAAUGUGUUUUUAUAAAUUGCAUAUGAGAUUGUCAGGCCCAUAGUAAGUGUUCAAUGGUUGAUGCUGCUGUUCUGGUAUUUAUAUUCUUGCCUUUAUUACUUAGUAACAAUAGGACAUGCAUGAUUGGCCUGGCUACAAAUUUAGCAGAUGAGUUGCUAUAAAAAAAAACAUUGAUAAUCUGUUCAGAAGCUUUAUCAAACACUUAUAAGCAGGACAUGAAGCAGAUGAUAUAUGUGACUCCUUAAAAAUUUGUUAAAACAAUAAUAAAUUUCAUGUCAGUGAGAUUGAUCAUUUUGUCUUACAUUAUGAUACAUUUGUACCAAUGCUUUAAUGUUAGUAGCUGAGCUCAUAAUUACAUUGAGAAUAGUUGUUAAAAAGGCACCUGGGAACUUAUUUUUAACAAAAACAAAAACAAACACUAGAAGUUCAAAUUAUUUUAAACAGAUAUCUCUGCUUUAAUUUUCUUCUGUUUGCUUGUCUGUAACUUUGAUUUUUGUAUAUAAACAGAUUAUAUAAUAAGAUACACAAUAAAACAAUUACCUAUUAUAAACUAAAGGCUUAAAGAAAAAAAUUGGGUCUGCAGUGUUUAAUGUAAAGAAAUGGAAAAACUAUAUACAGUAAGUAAAUCAUUCCCAAAUGCCUUUUAUUAAUGAAGAAUUGGCCUAUUUUCCAGGUCCAGCUGAAAAAUAGACUUUGAAUUUCCAGUAUUAGGAUGAUUUAAAUGAGAAGAGAUGAAAUGAGGGACUUCUGAACAAGACAGGAGCUUGUAUUUGGGCUCAAACGACCUUAACUCUCAAAUUAUCUGUGGAAUGAUUAAUGAGAUACAAUUAAAAAAAAAAAGGAUGAUCCUUUCAACUUCAAGAAGCUCUCUUGACUCCUAAGCUGAAACCCUCUAAAGUUUCCCACCUCACUCAGCGUGAAGUCUACACCCUCCUUCCACAGCUUUAUUUUUCCCAAUAUCACUUAUUCCUUUCUAUGUAUUUUACUUAAUUAUAUAUUUACUUAAUUAUUUGCUCACUUUCUGUUACCUCUCAGUUUCAACAUAAGUUCCCGAGGCAAGGAACUUAUGUUGUUCACUGAAACAAUGACUGGCAUAUAGUUGGCACAUAACUACUUCUUUAAUGAAUAACUAGUAAGUAAAUAUUUCCAUCUAUAUUAGUUUUACCAGAGAUGAGUGACAUAUAUGUAACAGAAAUUUCAGGACAAUUCAGCAAGAUGUGGUAUUGGUGGCCCUAGCAGUAAUCCACCUUCAGAGGCAAGGGUCAGCUAGAAGGAUUGAUGAGAUCCAUCACUGAAAUAUCCUCUCUGUUUUUGUAUGGAGUGGUAGCCCUGGAACCCUGGUCAGGAACACUGUAGUUACCUUUGAGCAUCCGUAGGCACUGUCAAACUUACAGUAAGGUUUGCUUGGCACAGACUCUCACAUAACUCUCCCAACUGCAAGUUUCUCUUAGGAUUAUUCAGAUCCUUUUUCAUCAAUUCACUGAGAUAUUUGAAGACCCUUUCUGCAUAAAAACUAAUCAGGAACUAUCUCUCAAAGUCAAGCUCUACCUCCUAUUUGGUUCUUAUGACAAAAUCUUGCAUUAGGUACAUAUUUAUAAUGAUGAGUAUGAAUAAAAC